rfam:Atopobium vaginae PB189-T1-4 contig00018, whole genome shotgun sequence.
GGAGAGCUGACCGAGUGGCCGAAGGUGCUCGCCUGCUAAGCGAGUAUAGGGUGCAAACUCUAUCUGGGGUUCGAAUCCCCAGCUCUCCG